AGAGUUGAUCAUGGCUCAGAACGAACGCUGGCGGCAGGCUUAACACAUGCAAGUCGAACGCACCGCAAGGUGAGUGGCAGACGGGUGAGUAACGCGUGGGAACCUUCCCUUUGGUACGGAAUAACUUCGGGAAACCGAAGCUAAUACCGUAUAUCUCCUGUGGGAGAAAGAUUUAUCGCCAAAGGAUGGGCCCGCGUUGGAUUAGCUAGUUGGUAGGGUAAAAGCCUACCAAGGCGACGAUCCAUAGCUGGUCUGAGAGGAUGAUCAGCCACACUGGGACUGAGACACGGCCCAGACUCCUACGGGAGGCAGCAGUGGGGAAUAUUGGACAAUGGGCGCAAGCCUGAAUCCAGCCAUGCCGCGUGAGUGAAGAAGGCCUUAGGGUUGUAAAGCUCUUUUGGCGGGGACGAUAAUGACGGUACCCGCAGAAUAAGCCCCGGCUAACUUCGUGCCAGCCGCUGC
rnacentral:rRNA from 1 species